UGCUUCUGAAGAAGAAAAAAAUGAUUACAAGUUCCCACAGGUUUCAUCUUUAUGUCAUUAUGUUUUCAUAGCUUCCAAAGCUAUCUGCAUGUUCACUGCAUGAAUAGUGUUGUCUUGAGAGAGGGAGAGCUCAUGCACACAGAGAGGGAGAGGG